AUACACUUUUAUACAUAGAUAUUUUGUAUAUUUAUAUGUAUUUUUAUAUAUAAAGGAGUUUUUAAUAUAAGUGAGAUUUAUACUUUUAUUUAUAGAUAUGAAUUUUGAUUUCUUUAGAUACUUUAUCCAUAAAGACGUAUUUUUAUAGAUUUAUAGAUUUUAUCUACACAAGGGAGGUUUUUUAUAGAUGAGAUUUAUAGAGAUCUCUGCUUUCACAAAUAGAUUUUAAUGGAUUUAUAUACAAGAAAUAUUGGCUUUUUUUAAAAUUCCCUUUCUCCAGUCCCAGGCCCGUUGGGCUCAGCAGUUUCCCCAUUUCCCCCAGUGCAGCAGGAAAAUCCCAGAGUUCUCUCCCUUGGAUCCCACAGAUUCUCCCAGGAAUAAAACCUCUAUUUCCACUCCCUAAUUAUUCCCAAUUAUUUCAGCACCAACCCCUGCACAUUGAUUUUUCCAAAUGUUUUCCCACAUUUCUUCUGCAGGAUUUUGACUCCCCCCACCUGGCAGAAUGCUGAGGAUUAAUUUGAAUUUAUUUAUUUUUUAAUCUCAGUUUAUUUGCUCUCUCCCAAGUUAAGCACAGCUUAAUAAAAAUAUGAAUAUAUAAAUAUUUAUGAGGAAGUAAAUACAUAUAAAAUAUGUCUUGUUUAUAAAUAUUAUAUUUAUGUAUAAAAAUGUACCCUGGAAAUGCUGCACUUGCUGCAGGAGCACGUCAGGAAUAAAGCACUGAACUCCCAAGGGCUGAGGAGAAAAAUUUGGAUUAGAACCCUCCAGAUCCAUCCCAGAAUAUUUCCCCUGGUGUUAAUUAGCUAAGCAGAGAUAAUGAGCUGGGAGUGCAGCACCUCAACAUCAACAAUCCUCAAAAUCCUCUUUCCACUGGCUGAAAACUUCCGUGGCAUUUGCUACUUUAACUUCCACUUAUUCAUUCAUUUAUUCAUUCAUUUAUUUAUUAAUUAAUUUAUUCAUUUAUUUAUUCAUUUAUUCAUUAAUUUAUUAUCAUAAUUUUAAUUAUUAUUAUUAUAUUUUUAUUUUAUUGUAGUUUAUUUUAAUUUUGUGUUGCUGAAGUUCAGUCUGGCUCUGGUGGAGGGAGGAAAACCCAACUGGAGGAGCUCCACUGAGCUGUUUUUGGGGAUUAAUAAUGAGAAGGUUCUAGUUAGGAAAAGAUCAGGAAUUGGAGCUCCCCUCAAACCCUGACACAAAACAUUAUUAUUCAUUCAUCUGAAUAUUAUGAAUGUUAAUGGUCAUGAGGUCAAGGUAAAAUUCCCAAUAUUCCAGGGAGAUUUCAGGAAAAGCCACAGGAAAAUGGGAUUUCUUUGUCCUUUACAGGGCAAAACUUCAAGAACCUGAAGUCAAAAAUGAACAUCUCUCUCUUAACUGGAAUAACAGGAAGGCAGCUGAAGGUAAAACAUCACAUCUUGAAGAAUUCCACAACUUUUCCAAUAUUUAUCCAGGAAAAUUCCCCCAAGUGUCCAGUGAGAGCCCUGGGGUGUGGGUUUUGCAAACACGACACGACACACUGCAGUUCAAAACUUCUUUAAUCCUCCUGAGAAGGAAAAAACCAGGAAUAAAAUCCUUGGAGGAAGAGAUUUAUGGAGAGCAGAGGGCAGGGAUGGGCUCUGGAAUCACAGCACAAAUUCCACAGCCCCACAAUGCAGAGCCAGCACUGCAGGGAGCAGCAGAAUUUGGGAAUGGGAACUCUGGGCCAUGGAUGAGCAGUGGUGACAGGGACAGAGAGAGGCUCCUAAAGCCACCAAAGCUUUGCUGGGCCUGGCUUAGAGCCUGAGGAGGGAGCAGGAGAGCCUGGGCCAGGCCUGCAAUCCAUGGGGUGGGAAAACACUGGGAAAACACCAAAGGUCAAGGCAAAAUCCCUGGAUCCUCACCCACACUGAGCUGGAAUAAAGCCUGAAGGAUUCCCAGUGCUCCAUGAAAAUGGCCCCAAAGUGCCUGGGACAACACCAAAGGUCAAGGUUCAAUCCCUGGAUGUUCACCCAGACUGAGCAGGAAUAAAGCCUGAAGGAUUCCCACUGCUCCAUAAAAAUGGCUCCAAAACUGUUAUCCCAGGAUAAUAUCAAAGGUCAAGGUACAAUCCCUGGAUGCUCACCCACACUGAGCUGGAAUAAAGCCUGAGGGAUUCCCACUGCUCCAUGAAAAUGGCCCCAAAGUGCCUGGGACAACACCAAAGGUCAAGGUAAAAUCCCUGGACCCUCACCCAGACUGAGCUGCUGCACAUUCCCAUGGAUUAAAGCCUGAAGGAUUCCCACUGCUCCAUGAAAAUGGCCCCAAAGUGCCCGGGGCGAGAUCCAAAUCUGCUUUAUUGCUUCAUCCCUGGAGCCCAACUGCAAUUCCAGGUGUUCCAGGGAUCCCUGCCCUGCUGCUCCCCAUCGAGCUGAGUGUUUUUGGGAGAGCUGAGGAGCCUGGAACCUUCCUGUUGAAACAUCUUUCUAAUUGCAAUAAUUGAUCCUAAUUGCUCUUUGCAUUUCCAAAUUCCACAGGCAAGUCUAGAUUGCAUCCAAGUCCAGGAAAACAAUGAUGAGAUCCAACAUUGCCCCAUUAUCUCUCUUUUUUUUUUUCUUUUUUUGGUAUUUAAUGACCUAAGAAAGUUACAAAA